ACGCGAUCACCUGGGGAUCUUGUUAAAAUGCAGAUUCUGACUCGGCGGCUCUGGGGUGGAGCCCGAGAGUCUGCAUUUCUAACGAGCUCUCGGGUGGCGCGGAC
rnacentral:pre_miRNA from 1 species